rnacentral:lncRNA from 1 species
CAGCCUCUCUAGCUUUUCUUUGGAAGGAGCAAGAAAAAAAUGAAGUACAAGAAACGGAAAGAACUAUUCCUUCCAGCCCAGAACACUGUCUCUGAACAGCAAGAUGGCUUUGAAACGCUUUCACAACGAAGGUGUGCUCCACUGGGCACCACAACAUACGGUUCAGACGUUUAAAGCCUGUCUCAGCCCAAUUUCCUCUCCAUUUGCUCCCUGGGUAAGGUAUCCCCCCUUCAGUGCAGGCAGAACUGGCGACUUGCUUCUAAUCAACAAAAUAUGGCAAAGUGGUGGAGUCUAGAAGUCUGAGAUCAGGGCACCAGCCUGGCCGAGUUCUGAUGGCGUCUCGCUUUGUCACCCAGGCUGGAGUGCAGUGGCGCGAUCUCGGUUCACUGCAACAUCUACCUCCCAGGUUCAAGUGAUUCUCCUGCCUUAGCCUCCCGAGUAGCUGGGAUUACAGGCACCCACCACCACAUCCGGCGAAUUUUUUGUAUUUUUAGUAGAGACAGGGUUUCACCAUGUUGGCCAGGAUGGUCUUGAUUUCCUGACCUGGUGAUCUGCCCACCUUGGCCUCCCAAACUGCUGGGAUUGCAGGCGUGAGCCACCGUGCCUGGCCGACCACUGAUCUUUUCACUGUAUCCACAGUGUUGCCUUUUCCAGAAUGUCAUAGAAUUUGAAUCAUACUAUAUGUUGCCCUUUCAGAUGAGUUUCUUUCACUUACUAAUAUUCAUUUGUUUCCUCCAUGUCUUUUGGCUUGAUAAUUCAUUUCUUUUUAUCACUGAAUAAUAUUCCAUUGUCUGAUGUACCACAGUUUAUUUACGCAUUUACCUACUGAAGGAUAUCAGGACAUCUUAGUUGCCUCUGAGUUUUUGGCAAUUAUGAAUAAAACUGCUAUAGAAAGAUGUGUGCAGGUUUUUCUGUGGAUAUAGUUUUCAACUCCUUUGGGUAACUCCAAGGAGUGUGGUCGCUGGAUCAUAUAGUAAGAGUAUGUGUAGUUUUGUAACAAAUAGCCAAAUGUUCUCCAAAGUGGCAUUAGCAUUUUGCUUUCCCACCAGCAAGGAAUAAGAGUUCCUGUUGCUCUGUAUCCUCACCAGCAUUUGGUGGUGUCAGUGUUCUGGAUUUUGGCCAUUGUAAUAAAUGUGUGGUGUUAUCUCAUUGUUGUUUUAAUUUGCAUUUGCCUGAUGACAUACAAUGUGGAACAUCUUUUUAUUGAAGCUAAUGUUUUAAGCCUGGCAAUUUAGUCUCUUCUCUUCCUGUAACCCUGAGCCACUGAGCACAGCUUUCUCCAGAAGCACCUGUGAGUCACUAUACACCACUGCUAUCUCCUGAAUGCUGGAGGCACUGGAGUGGGCCCUUUCAACUUUCAUUUUCUUAUUACCUAGAGAACUUGGCAUUGGUAGAUGCCCAAAAAAUGUAUGUGAGAUGCCUGCACAUUAAAAGACUGGCUGAAAACUUAAGCAGUAUACUGGUUUAGAUCAUUCAUCGCUGUCGGCAAGAGUAAAAAGCUAUGUAGCAGCAU